UACGCCAGACACAGGAUACCCGGAUGCACUGGCCCUUGUACGAAUUCACGCGAGAUCCCGCAUCGAUCAGGGAUAGGGAAGCUGAGCAUCUUUUCCUCGUCGGACCAAACGGAAUAAAGCAAAAAUGUCGCAGGUUCAGGCAAUGAAAAAGCAAGUUAUGCAGCUAAAGCAAGAAGCUAGUAUACAGCGGAUUCCUGUUUCUCAAGCCAUUGCAGAUUUGCAGUCAUACUGUGAGCAGCAUGCAGCAGUGGACUGGCUGUUGAAUGGAGGCCCACAGUCAGAAAAUCCAUUCAAGGAAAAGCAAUCGUGCACUAUACUCUAAACACGACAUAGAAGAUUAUUCAUUUCAACGUUGGAAAAAUACUGGAGUCUCCAAGACAGAACACAGUGAAAGCCAUACUGCAGGCAAACCUACCAUUGAUGAAGUUUCUCAGCAACAGACGUCAGUAAAAGACGCUUGAAAUAUUGGUUAAACUUGAUCCAUAUAAUAUUGGAACACAAUAGUCAGUGUCCAUGAACAGCAUAGAUGUUACUCUAUUGUAUGUGUAUAUAACGUUUAUUUAAUUAAUUGCUUUUUAUGCUGCAAUAUGUCAUAUCACAAGUUUGUUUCCUUUAUUACAUGACUAAGCUGAUUAAUCAGCAUUAGUGCUUCUAUAUUUUAAAAAGGUCAUUAGAUCGUUGUAUCUUUCACGUGUUUGACUUUGUGGCAAGGCUUGUUUGUCAUUUUGAACAUUAUUAGUUAUUGUACUACGUAUGAAUAACAUCAAUUAAUGUAUUGUUUACUGAUAUGCAAUGUGUUCAUUGUAAUGGGAACUGCAAGCAUGUGCUGCAUUUGUGAAGUUUAGCAUUGAUCGUCACUGCAUUUUACACUAUUUAAAUUUCACUUUGUGACUACUCUUGAAGUCCAGCUACUACAUAGACCAUUACUGGAAUAGCAUAAAAAACACCCACCACUAGUAGUAGUAUUCACAUCUACAGUGUAAUUGUAAAAUGCACAGUCAAAUAGUCACAUUGUGAGAAAACUGGUCCACAAAGCUCAUGAAUUGUAAUUGUGUGCAUUAGAUGUGGUGUACUUCAAUCCAAUUUCAUUCAUGCAUAAUUGACUAAUAUAAAUAUUAAGGUUAUAUAGAAUUAAAUUAAAUGUUGUCUCCCAUGUUCAGUUCAUGCUCAAAUACCACGCAGCAGAAUAAUUUACUCUACAAAUACUUGUGUAUGUGUAAGUUCACUUUACUUAUGUGCAUAUAUAUAGUAACUGGUUAUCGUAGCCUUUGAAGGAUUGAGAUGCGUACCUUUAACUUGGCCGUAGCUUACCUUUUUUAACACGAGGCAAUUUAAUAUAUUGGAGUAUUUUCAGGAACAAUCAUAAUACGUGAUGUUUAAAAUGAUAUCUGAAAAGAAUGUUUUAAAAAUGGCACAUACUGAAAAACAUUCGUUUCUUGGUAUAUUAUUUGAGUGAAAUACAUACAGUUCAGUGUCAUUGUA